UACGUAGGUGGCAAGCGUUGUCCGGAUUUAUUGGGUUUAAAGGGUGCGUAGGCGGCUUUGUAAGUCAGUGGUGAAAUAUGGCAGCUCAACUGUCAGGGUGCCAUUGAUACUGCGGAGCUUGAGUACAGAUGAGGUAGGCGGAAUUGACGGUGUAGCGGUGAAAUGCUUAGAUAUCGUCAAGAACACCGAUAGCGAAGGCGGCAUCCUGGACCGAUACUGACGCUGAGGAGCGAAAGCCAGGGGAGCAAACGGG
rnacentral:rRNA from 1 species